GAUCGGGACAUCGGAGGCGCCAGCAGAGCAGAGACAACAACGCCGCGUGCGGCGAAGUCUACGAGGAAACUGAGGAAGAGAAGCUAGGGAGCGAGGCGCGCAGCAGCCAGCAGUAGGCGACGAGACUGCAGCCAGUAGCAGAGAAUCACACUAGCCGAUCGAUUCGAGUGCACCCACGUCGGAAGGAACAAGUGGGGGCGGAGCCGCGAUGUCGGGGCGGCGGCCGGCGACGUGGGACCAGGCAGCGGACGACUACGACUACCUGUUCAAGGUGGUGCUGGUGGGCGACUCCGGCGUGGGCAAGUCCAACCUGCUAUCCCGCUUCACCCGCAACGCCUUCUCCCUCGACUCCAAGUCCACCAUCGGCGUCGAGUUCGCCACCCGCACCAUCCAGGUGGACGGCAAGACGAUCAAGGCGCAGAUCUGGGACACGGCGGGGCAGGAGCGGUACCGCGCCA